rnacentral:piRNA from 1 species
UGAGGUCUUAUUAGUUGGUCUUGACUA